UUAGGGAAUUUUGACAAUGGGCGCAAGCCUGAUCGAGUGACGCCGCGUGCGGGACGAAGCCUUUCGGGGUGUAAACCGCUUUUCUCUGGGGAGAGGCAGGACGGUACCAGAGGAAGAAGCAUCGGCUAACUACGUGCCAGCAGCCGCGGUAAUACGUAGGAUGCGAGCGUUGUCCGGAAUUACUGGGCGUAAAGAGCGCGUAGGCGGUUUCUCGCGUGGGUUGUGAAAGCCCCUGGCUUACCUAGGGGAGUGCAGUCCAAACGGGGGAACUAGAGGGCGGUAGGGGCUGGCGGAAUGCCUGGAGUAGCGGUGAAAUGCGUUGAGAUCAGGCAGAACACCAGUGGCGAAGGCGGCCAGCUGGGCCGCACCUGACGCUGAGGCGCGAAAGCUAGGGGAGCGAACGGAAUUAGAUACCCCCGUAGUCC
rnacentral:rRNA from 1 species